rfam:Myotis lucifugus cont2.46248, whole genome shotgun sequence.
CCGUUUCCUGCUUCAACGGUGUUUGGAUGGACAG